rnacentral:rRNA from 1 species
GAUGAACGCUGACAGAAUGCUUAACACAUGCAAGUCAACUUGAACUUCGGUUUGGGUGGCGGACGGGUGAGUAACGCGUAAAGAACUUGCCUCACAGGUAGGGACAACAUUUGGAAACGAAUGCUAAUACCUGAUAUUAUGAUUUUAGGGCAUCCUAGGAUUAUGAAAGCUAUAUGCGCUGUGAGAGAGCUUUGCGUCCCAUUAGCUAGUUGGAGAGGUAACGGCUCACCAAGGCGAUGAUGGGUAGCCGGCCUGAGAGGGUGAUCGGCCACAAGGGGACUGAGACACGGCCCUUACUCCUACGGGAGGCAGCAGUGGGGAAUAUUGGACAAUGGACCAAGAGUCUGAUCCAGCAAUUCUGUGUGCACGAUGAAGUUUUUCGGAAUGUAAAGUGCUUUCAGUUGGGAAGAAAAAAAUGACGGUACCAACAGAAGAAGUGACGGCUAAAUACGUGCCAGCAGCCGCGGUAAUACGUAUGUCACAAGCGUUAUCCGGAUUUAUUGGGCGUAAAGCGCGUCUAGGUGGUUAUGUAAGUCUGAUGUGAAAAUGCAGGGCUCAACUCUGUAUUACGUUGGAAACUGUGUAACUAGAGUACUGGAGAGGUAAGCGGAACUACAAGUGUAGAGGUGAAAUUCGUAGAUAUUUGUAGGAAUGCCGAUGGGGAAGCCAGCUUACUGGACAGAUACUGACGCUGAAGCGCGAAAGCGUGGGUAGCAAACAGG